UUGGCACGGAGGGCCUCUAUUUCACUGAUCUUAAUACAGCUACAGCAAACAGCAGGCACUCAAUGCUUGUUGGAGAAAAAUCCAGUCGAUUUCACUUUGGCAUCAGCUAUUCAGUUGGAAGCAGCUCAAGAAACAUACGGAUAUCAGAGAGGAGGGUGAGUGGCUUUCAAGGUCCAACUAAGGAGGUCACCUGAUCAUUCAGUGUUUGAAAGACACCAGCCAGCCACAGGCAUCCAUCUAACUGACCGGGCCAAUGAAAGACGAGAGCCAGCAGCGGCAUGUGCUGGAAAGAACACAACACCGGAGAGGAGCUGAUUUGAUUCCAGAGGACUGAAGUAUCUAAAUGCAACAUCCAGGCCAGGCAUGCCCUGGCAAAGGACAGCC